CUGCCCAUGACACAUGUUCAACGGCCGCGGUAUCCUAACCGUGUGAAGGUAGCGUAAUCAUUUGUCUUUUAAAUAAAGACCUGUAUGAACGGCAUAACGAGGGUUUAACUGUCUCACUCUCUUAGUCAAUGAAAUUGAUUUUUCCGUGCAGAAGCGGAGAUACAAACACAAGACAAAAAGACCCCGUGAAGCUUUAAGGUGAAAGAUAAUAAUUCUAAUGUAUAAACCUAAGAACCCACUCCACUCACCCUUCGGUUGGGGCAACCCUGGAGAAAAAUAAAACCUCCAUGAAAAUUCCCAAUAGCUCUAUUAGACUUGAAUAAACAACACUAGCUUACAAAAUAUUUGUUCUAAUGAUCCAAAAAUUUUGAUCAACGAAACAAGUUACUCCGGGGAUAACAGCGCAAUUCCCUUCUAAAGCCCAUAUUGACAAGGGAGUUUACGACCUCGAUGUUGGACCAGGACAUCCUAAUGGCGCAGCCGCUGUUAAAGGUUCGUUUGUUCAACGAUUAAAGUCCUACGUGAUCUGA
rnacentral:rRNA from 1 species